rnacentral:rRNA from 1 species
AGUGAACGCUGGCGGUAGGCCUAACACAUGCAAGUCGAACGGCAGCACAGUAAGAGCUUGCUCUUACGGGUGGCGAGUGGCGGACGGGUGAGGAAUACAUCGGACUCUACUUUUUCGUGGGGGAUAACGUAGGGAAACUUACGCUAAUACCGCAUACGACCUACGGGUGAAAGCAGGGGAUCUUCGGACCUUGCGCGAUUGAAUGCGCCGAUGUCGGAUUAGCUAGUUGGCGGGGUAAAGGCCCACCAAGGCGACGAUCCGUAGCUGGUCUGAGAGGAUGAUAAGCCACACUGGAACUGAGACACGGUCCAGACUCCUACGGGAGGCAGCAGUGGGGAAUAUUGGACAAUGGGCGCAAGCCUGAUCCAGCCAUACCGCGUGGGUGAAGAAGGCCUUCGGGUUGUAAAGCCCUUUUGUUGGGAAAGAAAAGCAGCAGGUUAAUACCCCGCUGUUCUGACGGUACCCAAAGAAUAAGCACCGGCUAACUUCGUG